AUUGAACGCUGGCGGCAGGCUUAACACAUGCAAGUCGAGCGGAGUGAUGGUGCUUGCACUAUCACUUAGCGGCGGACGGGUGAGUAAUGCUUAGGAAUCUGCCAUUUAGUGGGGGACAACAUUCCGAAAGGAAUGCUAAUACCGCAUACGUCCUACGGGAGAAAGCAGGGGAUCUUCGGACCUUGCGCUAAAUGAUGAGCCUAAGUCGGAUUAGCUAGUUGGUGGGGUAAAGGCCUACCAAGGCGACGAUCUGUAGCGGGUCUGAGAGGAUGAGCCGCCACACUGGGACUUGGACACGGCCCAGACUCCUACGCGAGGAAGCAGUGGGGAAUAUUGGACAAUGGGCGGAAGCCUGAUCCAGCCAUGCCGCGUGUGUGAAGCAGGCCUUUUGGUUGUAAAGCACUUUAAGCGGGGAGGAGGCUCUCCUAGUUAAUACCUAGGAAGAGUGGACGUUACUCGCAGAAUAAGCACCGGCUAACUCUGUGCCAGCCGCCGCCGUAAAAC
rnacentral:rRNA from 1 species